rnacentral:rRNA from 1 species
UACGGAGGGAGCUAGCGUUGUUCGGAAUUACUGGGCGUAAAGCGUGCGUAGGUGGUGAGUUAAGUCUGUCGUGAAAGCCCCGGGCUCAACCUGGGAAUGGCGAUGGAUACUGGCUCGCUAGAGUGCGGUAGAGGGUGGUGGAAUUCCCGGUGUAGCAGUGAAAUGCGUAGAGAUCGGGAGGAACAUCAGUUGCGAAGGCGGCCACCUGGACCAGCACUGACACUGAGGCACGAAAGCGUGGGGAGCAAACAGG